CAGCCGCCGCGGUAACACGAAGGGUGCAAGCGUUACUCGGAAUUACUGGGCGUAAAGCGUGCGUAGGUGGUGGUUUAAGUCCGUUGUGAAAGCCCUGGGCUCAACCUGGGAAUUGCAGUGGAUACUGGGUCACUAGAGUGUGGUAGAGGAUAGUGGAAUUUCCGGUGUAGCAGUGAAAUGCGUAGAGAUCGGAAGGAACAUCUGUGGCGAAGGCGACUAUCUGGGCCAACACUGACACUGAGGCACGAAAGCGUGGGGAGCAAACAGGAUUAGAGACCCGCGUAGUCCCUGUCUCUUAUAC
rnacentral:rRNA from 1 species